AGACCAUUAUCUCUUAUGAUAAUUGAAUCUAUGACAUCUUUAGCCACAUAUGCCACAUCUAAAACAUGUGUCCAGAAAUCUUUAUACAAUCCUUGCUCAACAUUCACGAAGAACGAUCUUAUGAAUUCGAGGGCUUCUUUCACCAGUCUAAUGUCAUCCUUUAUCAAAGCAAUUGAAUAAGCAUUGGAAUCUAGCAGAUCAUUCAAGUGGAUGAGUAGAAGAUGCAUCAAGAGCGGUCCAUCAUUCAUGGGGAAGCAACAUUGAUAUGAGCCCGGGGCUUUCAGAUAAACACAUUUGAGAUCUUCCUUGAGGAGUUCAAUAUUUUCCAGCAAGUCUAGAGCUGCACGAUUUGUUCCAUUUGUACCCUGUUUAUUCCUUGAUUGCUUUUCUAAGUCGCGAACAAGAGUUGAUACCUUCCUGAUGAGUGCUCCAACACGUGCCAAAAGAUCAAACAAUUUGCUAUGAUGAAUAAAGUCCUUGGGCAUAUCAGUAACAAUAAUUAAUAGGAACUCUAUCAUGACAUGAAUGUUUCGAGCCCCUGAAGUGCUUGCGGUAAUAACAGUUACCAUGUGCUCUUGUAGAUGAAUCAGAUAUUCUCUCAGAACUUCUGGAGAGAAUUCAAGGAGUUUCAAUAAAGCGUCUAACUUCUACUGAUGGUGAAGCUUUCAAAUUUGUAUAGCAUAUUUGCAUCACCUCCAGUUCAAUUGGAAUGAUCUUCAUGAGUAGAUGUGCUAGCUUGAAGAGUCGAGAGUCUCCAAGUCGAUCAUGCCAUAGGAAGAUUGCAACUCUCUCAGCCAUGAGUUGAAACUGAGGCAAGACAUAUUCAACAAUCUCGCGCUCAAUGCAACCAUUUACUAUCAACCCAUGGAAAUAUUUCAUGUUGCCAGACACAGUCUGCAGAAUCUCAUACUGAGUCUCUAAUGGAUAAAUCUGUUCAGCAAGAAACUCGGAUAGAUAAUGGAGAUCCAGGAGGAGGAAGUCCAACUGUUCGUCAGUCAUGGUGACACUUGAUGUAGAAUGAUGACACGAGCUGAUACAAUCAUCGAUAUUAUCGAUGAGGCUAGGAAGAACAUGAUCCAUGUUGUAUUCACACCUGACAUUGUUGUCAACAACGUUCAAAAUUGGUCGAAGCAGAUUCUCAACCCUUUGUCUUGAAUCACUCAUUGCAUCUUCAAACUUUUCUAAAUCACAAUGAGAAAGCCCGACGUACGUACAAAUAAAUGCCAGCUCAAAUUUCAGCUCUUCAAUUUGAUCGGCCAUGUCGACAGCAUUAUGACCUUCUUCAUUCUUUAACCUCUCCAUGAAAUCCAGAACGUUGACAACGUCCUUGCGAAGAGCAGAAAAUGACAUCUGCCAAACGACCAAAUAUUAUAUCAAAAUCUUCAUAGCUAACAUAUAUACCAUGCAAUAUUUAAUAUUUACUUACAGGCAACCAACACAUGCACAUGUAUUUUAUGUGAAUUAUAUUCUACGAAGAUAAUUCAAAUAACACAAAUCAAAAUAAUGGGAAAAGGUCCAAAUAUGCCCUCCCCUAUAAAAAAAAAAAGGGGGGGGGGGGGGCUAUUUAUACACCUGACAUAACACCAAUGAUUCCAAUAUACCCUUUUUGACUAAUGGAAGUGAAAUAGUCGAUGUUAAAAUUAUUUUUCUAUUUUAUUUUUACUAAUGGAGGUGAAAUAGUCGAUGGCCAGAAUUACCGCCUCUACUUUCAAAACUUAUAUACAUCUAAUCUCCAUCUUACAAUCUGAACAAAAAUUUGACCUUUCCGUGAAUUGUAUUUUCAGAAUACUUAACACAUAGUUCAAUGACUUAAAUGUGACAAAAGUUUAAUUUUGUGACUACAUUGAUACAACAAGUAAAGUUCAGUGAUUUUAGUGAGUCAAAAUUAGUUUAUAUAAGUAACUAAUUACAGAUACAUACAUAAGUAAAGUUUAGCGAUCAUGACAUACCUCAAAAUUGUUUGCUUUCCCUUUCUCUAUUUCUCCUUGUUUUUCCAUGACACUUCCUAUCUGAUGUAAAAAAGAAAGAAGCAUAAAAUUAAUUUAAUAGCAGAAAACGUACAUUUUCACACAUAUAAAUAAGUCAAUUAUUUUCCGUCGACUCCAAUGAGUGAAAUUACAGAUGUGAGUACCAUGAUUAAACACACUAUAUUUUGAGUUACUGUUAGUGACUAACCUUUUUUGUUGAUGAAAAAUCUGAAAUGAUUUCUCUUUGUUUUUGUGUAUGACUAUAUUAACUUGAUAAGAUGUGUGUGGAGGAAAAGAUUAAGAGAGAAGGGUUAGACAUAAAAAAAUAUGUUUGGAGUAGUGAACAAAUGCAGCAUUGAUUGUAAGACUAAAUGUUCCCCUUUGCAGAAAAGUAUUAGCUUUGAUAAAAUUUGUGUGGAGGAAAAGAUACAAAAAAAAGAGGGUGGGCCAAUAAUAUGUUUGUUUGAACUAGUCAACAAGUAGCAUUGAUGGUAAGACUUGUACACUUGUCUAUUUAAGUUAUACAUAUUGAUAAUAUUAAUGCAAUGUGAUGAGGUCUUAAAAAUUGUACAGAAAUAUAAAAUAAGAUUGUGUAUAAUACACCCUAUGUUGGGCCAUUCCUCAGACCCUACGCAUAUCGAGAGCUUUAAUAUAUCAGACUAUCAUUUCUUUAUACUAAUAAUGUUAGUUUUGAAUUCAAUUCAAUUUAGCUUUUAAAGAUUAAUCAAAUUGAGUUUAAUGAAGUGAAAAGCGACAUGUAAAAUGAACGGUGGGAGUACUAAAUAAAUAAUACUAGAGAGUGUUGCUUAAUGAGUAAAAAUUAGAAAAUAGACACUAUUAGAUAUUUGAGUUGACUAACCUUUUUAUUUGAUGAAAAUAUUCUUUGGAAUUAAACACAAAAACAUAUCAAAAAUAAAUAUAGAAAAUAUGAUUCGUACAAUAACAAAUUCAAUGUAUUCUUAUAAAAUGAAGUCUAGGAGGAUAAAAUGUAAGCAAUUCAUAUCACUAGCUCAGAUGAAGUAGAGAGGUUGUUUUCGAUAGACUCCCAACUCAAGAUAGAUAACAGUAUAACAAACAAAAAAUAUAAAAAUAAACAACAAAAUGACAUAACACACCGCUAGAUAAUAAAAGAAACAAGACACUGAUUAAGUAUUACUAUAAAUUAUUUAUUCGAGAUCACAAACAUCAUCAGAACACUAGGAACAAGAAAACACAGGCAAAGAUACAAACUCAACACUCUUCCCUAAUAUUAUGAAUGCACUCCUAUCAAUUAAACCUAAUUCGCAUCCACCACACCUUCCUAUCAAAGAUCAUACUAUCUGUAAGUAGUAACCGCUCCAUAUCAUGCUUAAUCACCUUCAAUUUGGCUUUAACUUGCAUCUAUGCUAUUCAAUUUUGAGUGUGUAUAAAUAGAUACUUACUAUUAUAACAUUUAAUAACUAGACAAAUGCCUCCUAAAUGGAAUAAUACACAUUGAAUGCUAUGUAGAACAUAAAUUGAUCACGUUUAUUUUUUAAAGGUAUAAUGCAUAAACGUGUCUUUUAACUUAACUUCAGAAUACAUCUGUGACCUAGCUUCAACUUUAAAAUUUUAAUAUGCAUCUCAUACACCAUUUCGUAAUUGUAUGAGGCAUUUGUUAUUUUGACUACUGAGCUUUUUGCCCCCACUCAUCAGAAAAUGUUUUUUUUCCGCUCAGCAUUUUCAUUCAUGUUCACUGUAAACUUUUUUUUUUACAAAUUAUUUUUUUCUCUUCUUUUCUUGAAGCUAUCUUUUUAUUUUAUUUUAUUGUUUAUCCUUUUUCUUUCAAUUAUUUUCCUAUCUAUCCAAUACUAAGUAUGCGUUAGGUCAUGAAUAUUAUUCACAAUAUCUUGAAAUAUAAUAUUUACUUUAUUUUGAAAUAUUUAUUUAGUCAUAAAUAUUUUGAAAUAUAUUUUAAUAAUAUUUGAAUAUUUAAAAAACACUUCAAGAGGUGUUUUUACUAUUUUAAAAUUUUCUUUUUAAACUUUUUAAUUUAUUUUUUAAAUCUAAAUUUAUUUUCAAAAAACAAUCCCAUUUUUAUAAAAAUGUAGUUUUUUUAAAUCUACUUUCACUUUUUGCAUUUUCUUUUUACUUCAAAAAUACCCUAUUUCCCAAAUACUAUGUCAAACACAACUCCAACUCUAUUUUCAACUUCAAAAAUAUCAAAUAUGAAGAACCAUACAUCAUAUAUUUUUUUAUUAUUAAAUGCAUCUUCUGUAUAGUAAAAUUAUUUUAAGCAGGUUGGAUUAAGAAUUGGAUCGAAUUUAAAAUGGGUUCGGUCUUGACUUUAAUAUAGUUUUUUUAACUUUUUUUUCUCUAAAAUUAGAGUUGCCACAUCAUUAAAUGACUCAAAAAAUUAUAGUUCGAGCUAAAAUAAUACUCCCUCAGCUUCGGAAUAAGUGAAUUGUUGGGGUAUUUAUUGGUGUUUUAAAAUAAGUGAAUCAAUGAAUAUUUUACCAAAUUUACCCUUAUGAUUUGACAACCAAUUAACUUUUAAAAAAGUAUUACAAGGUUAGCUUUUUCCUUUUUAGGGGUAAAAAUGAAAAGUUGUAUUAAAUUUAUGUCUUUAAUGUUUUUUUCUUAAUCUGUGUGCCAAAAUCCAACAAUUCAUUUAUUAUGAAACAGAGGAAGUAAUGAAAAUUAAUUAAGCAAAGUUGAGUGACUUUGAUGAUCAAUUAUUAUAAGUUGAGUGAUUGUUCAUACAUUUAAUUGAUGAAAAGAAUAUUCUCUAUAUUUAAAAUCUUUUUUCUGAUUUUUGUUUUGGUACAAAAUCUAAGAAAGUGAAAAAAAAAUUAGAAUAUUUUUAGUGUUAAAUCAAAAUAUGUAGAAUAUAUCAAAAUAUCCUUUUAAUUUUUGUCAUUUUAAGCGUGUCAUAUAAAAAAUUUAAAUUGAAAAAAAUAUUUCUUUUGAAAUAGACUAAAAAAGGUGAGAUAAGUAUAUAUAACAAAACGAGUAUUAUAUAAAUUUGAUUUGCUUAGUAUCAUGAGCACCGAAAAAAAUUGAAAGAAAAAAACAAAGAAAGAAAAUAAAAGAAAAGGUAACCCCCAAAAAAGCAAAAAAUGAAUUGUUAAAAAAGAAAAGUUAAAAAGUGCACUGAAAAUGCAAAGGGAAAAAGAAAACUGCCUGACAGGUGGGGCCAAAAAGCCCACUUGUUAAAAUGACAAAUGCCUAUACAACUAUGACAUAGCGUAUGAGAUGCAUAUUAAAAUUUUUGGGGUGUGCACAAGUAAAACAUUUAAAUUUAUAUAAAAUUGAAUAAGUGGACACAUAUGUCCUAUGUGGCAUCUUACAUAUCAAUUCCUGUCGUACAUGAUAUCCUAAGUGUAUUAUGCCACAUGGAACAUGUGUGCGUACUUGUUUUUAACAUUGGCAAGAAUCGAUUUAACUAGUGUGUAUUUUUGCUUCUAAUCAGAAAAAAAAAAAGGUUUACGAAUGAUGAAGGACCUGUUUUUGUGGUUUUGGAAGAUUUGAAAUAUUUCUUAAAACAUGGUCAAAAAUACACAUGAACUUUUCCGAUUUUUUGAGUUUUGUAUCUAAACUAUUAGGUUUGUUAGUUGGCUAUCUAAACAAUCACCAAAUAUUUAUCAAAAUACAGUCAGUUAUUCUCUUUUUGUACCUGAAAUAUCACUAUAAUUUAGGUAGAAAAAGGUAAAAACUGAUAGUUAAGGCGUGUUUCUUUAAAAAUUCCAAAGCCCACGUCCCAUCAAUUCAUAGCUAACACCCAUCAAAAUUUACGGUAUCGGUUUUAACAUGUUUGAUUAAUGAUAUAAACUAGUCUCGGGAUAAAUUUAUUUCAUCAACAAACAUGAUUUAAAUUUUAUCCAUUAGAUAUCUCAAACUUAUCAAUGGAAUGUCUCACCUUAUAUCUUCUACCAAAUAACCCCUUAGUGAUUGGACCCAUGUUCAUACAACAAAUAAAAUAAUUUAAUUUGGUGCAAUUUAAAAAAUGAAAUUUAAAAUAUAUAUUAUUUAAUCAAGUGGCAACACUUAUUUUACAUAAUUGAUUUGACAGGGUUAUUUUUUUUUCCUACUUUUGAUUAUGAUGCAAAUGGGGAUAGUCAAAAUAUUCUCUGUUAUGUUCCACAAUAAGUGACACUCGAUCUUUCUUAUUGAAUAGCCACCGUUAGAAAAGUUUGGAAAAAGACAUAAGUAACCAUUAGAUAAUUGACGUGACAUCUUUAUUACAUAAAAUGAGAUCUACGUCAAAGAUGCCACAUCAGUUAUGGAGGUUGACAAAUGGCACCACAUUAGCUAAAAAAGUUGACAAAAAUAAGCUAAAAUUGAGUUCGGGGCAAUAGACCCUCGUAAAGUUGGAGUGUAUUGUAACAAAUUUGGUCAUAAUUCAGGGUACCAGAUGCUUUACUCUUAAAAAAAAAUAAAAUCUAGUCAAUCUUUAUAUAAGUAAAAUGUUGAAAUCGAGGAGGAAAAAUGCUAGAGUUUGUGACCCAAAUUUUGUUGAUUUGGCCCUUAAAAGUUUAUGGUGAGACCCAUGUUUGUGAUUUUUCAUGGGAUUUGUGGUGGUAGCGUAUGUUUUUGGGCCUAGACGCGUAUCAUAUAAGAGCGUUUAGUUGGCUAUUUUGGGUUGUUCUAAUAUACACGAAAUUGAGACUAUCGUCUCCACAUUGUACUCCUCUCAGUAUAGUUAAUUCCUCUGCCUCUGCCCGUGGUUUUUCCCGCAAGGGUUUCCACGUAAAUUUGUGUGUUCUUGUUUUUCUUUUUGCUUGUGGUUUGCUUAAUACUGUCCGAUUCAUAACAAAAAAACAAAUGCUCAUCUACUCAAUUUCUUUUAACAUUCACAAAUAGUUCAGUCGAGACUUUCAUCAAAUCACAUUGGCCUAAUCAAAUCAUGAUGCUUUAAAGUAAUUUGAUGAUCUUGCUCUUUGUUAGUUGCACCUUUCUAGGCAACUAGCCCGACUGAAGGACUGCACGUCUUGCUUUUACUGUCAUAUCGGGAGUUCCUCCAUAUGUUUUGCUGUACGUAAAAAUGGAGAGUGGAUUCCUCUUUGGCGUUUUAGGAAGAUGCCAUGGUGAUAUAUCCACACUGUUCUAACCACAUAAGAAUAACUCCGCGCAACUAAUUCUUCAUCCCCGUCCGAACCUUCCUGCAUUAGAUUUUGUGAUCCAAUCCCUCAAGGUGAUUGCUGUUGCUUCACAGCAAAUUAAGAAGCAAGAGUAGCAACUAGAUAACAAACUUGGAAACGAACUUAAUCCUCUUCGUUCAGCUCAUCAAUCCUAUGCGUUUAAUGGACUUAAAGGUGCCACCUGCAGAAAAGAAGCAACAGUUAGAAAGAUAUUAUCACAACAAAGCACGAGCGAUAGUACUCAAAUUGCUUGCUUGAGUGCAACAGUGCAUCUUUCCAGUUCACAUUAAGACGAGUACAUUCUUUCUUGAAUGAGUUUGUCUCAAGUUUGAGAUAGCAUAUCCUGAAUUGAUGUAUUAAUAGGCACGGGAGGAAUUUUAAUAACACACUACUGUUGCAAACGAGGACAAAUGUUGUACAGCAGCACCUAUUCGAACAAGUUGAUCAUUACAUACAGAAGCGUCUCAACUCCAAAUGCUUGUCGAUGGCUGAUUCUUGGUGCACGUGAGUUCCACCGUGCAGCAUCACAAUUCAAACUCUUUGUACGCGAAAAUCCCACUUCUUGUUGCAUUGGAGUUUCUCGAUAACAUCGUUGCCUGAAGAGUUUUCUGAUGUUUGUUAUGAUGGUCUAUCUUGAAAGAUCUACAGAAACUUGAAAAAACUGAGAUAUAGGAUAUCAAUAUAGUACAGAUGCCUCCAACCUUUUGUUUCACUUCCUUCUUUCCCAUCAUAACAGAGAGUCAGCAAUUCCAUGUAUGUUUCCGUACGUGAGGAGUAACCAUUCCAAGAAGAAAAGAGAGUAUGCAACAACAACCAUUUGAAAGAACAAAUUUCGGAGUACAUAAUUCUGUCAGCUUCCUUUAUAUUUUUACGACAACAAGUAGUUUCAACACUCAGAUUGAACUUACUUUUUCUUGAUGGUAUUCUGGCUUGAGUGGAAAGCUGGAUCAUUUUCUAAAGUAUGAGAUGGGGCAUUCAACAUCGAUGUAUUAAUAGGAACAAGAGAAUUUUUAAUAACGCAGACUGUUGCACAUGAGACCAAAUGUUGUACAACAACACCUAUUUAAACAACUUGAUCAUUAAACACAGAAGCCCUCAACUCCAAAUGCUUAUCGAUGGUUGAUUCCACCAGCCUGCAUGACAAUUAUAACUCCUUGUAGGCAGAGAUACCACUUUUUGUUGCAUUGGAAUUUCUCAAUGACUUCAGUACCUGAAGAGUUUUCACAUGUUUGUGAUGAUGUAUUUCUUGAAAGAUUUACAGAAACUUUAGAAAAACUGAGAUAUAGGAUACCUUUCAUAUAGUAGAGAGGCUGCCGACCUUCUGUUUCACUUCAUUCCCGAUAGCAAAGAGUCGGCAACUCCAUGUAUGUUUCAAAGAGAUACUAGGAGGUGAACUGAGGAUGGAAGGAAGGGUUCUGAUUUUGACAGGGACAGAGAAUGUUUGUGGGAAAGAAAGGAACUUUUUAUUAUUUAUGCUUCAGAUAAAAAGUUGUUUAGACAUAUGUAUGGCAUUCUGUAUCGUAAUGUUAGUGUUAAUAUGGAUGACUACUGUAUGACGUACCGAUGAGUUGUAAGAAGUAAGAUUAGAAAGAAAGAAACAUAAAAAGUCAUAUUAGAAACAAUUUUGCAGUAGUCAGACAUAUAAAAAGUCAUUUUCGAGAUACUGGGAAAGUUCAAACAUCAAAUGGUGUUACAAAACAAUGUUAAUGUGUACACACACACACAAAAAGGAGGAAUUUAUACAAUAAAGAAGAAAAAAGAAGACCAUUCACAAAGACUUCAGUUGAGACUUUCAUCAAACUACGCGUUCAGGGUAGACAUCUUUUUAAAGUGCAGCAAUUUCCACAAAAGGAAUCAGAAUGGAGAAGAACCUGAUCUGCUGGUGCUCAAGAUAUUUCGACCUUAAGUGUGUCCCCUCCCGUCAUAUCUUCAACAUAUUGUUUAAUCUUCGGAGAUGAAUCUUCAAGUUGAGGGCUCUCGAAAAGUUCGAUAAUUUUCAAUGAAGAAAUAUUUCUGAAACUAGGCGGAAUCUCCUCAAGCUUAUGACAUUCCCACAGUGCUAAUUUCUCAAGCAUGGGAAAGGAUUCCUCUCCAAGCUCCCACUUAGCAAGAGUCACUUCUUCAAAACACAAAUAUUUGAGAUUCUCAAAGGUGUCUUCCUCCCCCAUGUUCCAUUCCUCCCCCUGCAUGAUUGUUCUAGCAACGAACAACUCUUCAAGGUUGGGAAGUCUCGCUAUUAUUGAUAGUGAAUCGGAGGACAGAGGAAAGUCACACAACCACAAUGCUUUCAAAUUUGAUGGGAAGUGAAAAUCCCAUGACCAAUUUGUCGCUAAAGAGGGCCCACUGUCAUUUGCGUUUGAGCUUGCAAAUUCUGCUUUGAGGAAUUCUAGUUCAGUUAGGAAAUCCAAUUUCAGGAACCAAUAUUGCUCUUUGAAUAAUCCCAUGAUUCCUUGAGAACAAAUGAAAGACACUGAAGAUUGGGAAACCUUUUGAAAAUAUCCUCCGUAUCUUUUGAAUAGGAAAGCACGAGUUUCCCUAAUUCUCUCAAGUUAUCUAAUUUUGCGUCCUCUGCUAUCAGUAUUGGUUCAUUUGUCUCCAUAGCAAAGAAAGAACAAGCAUAAAUGGACAGCUCUCGCAACUUUAUAAGAUCCCAAAUACUCGGUAAUAGUACCAUGAUUAAUCCUUUGUUAGUCACAAACAGGAUUUCUAGAUUCCAGAGGUUUGAGAAAGAUGACGGCAGAGGUUUAACUUCUGUCCCAAUUCUUAAGAACCUCAAAUGAUUCAGCAUGCCUAUUUCAUUCAGCAAAGAAUCUUUCACCCUCAUAAAAGAGGUACUCAGGUCCAACACUCUAAGAAGCCUCAAGUCUCCGGUUAUCAACAAAGAACAGAGGUGCUUACCAGAAUGCCUUUUCAUUUUUGAAUCGAGCAGGACGAAAUUGUUAGGCCCGAAGUGCUCCUUAUCAAAAAGAAUGGUCACUCUGCGUGGCAUCAAAUCUGAAGAAGAAGAUUGAUCACUUGAACUUAUCCUGCCAAACAACUUUUCCUCUUUUGCUUUUAUUAAACAAAAGUCGUGCACAAGAUCAUGAAGUUGGAAAGUCGGGUAAUAACCCAUCUCAUUGAAGGCAAUUACCAAGCUACUUGAAAUUAAAUUAUCCAUAUAAAUUUCCGUCACUUCAUCCACACUCAUCAUCUCUGUCUGUUCAACAAGCCCUUCAGCACGCCAAUACAUUUUCAACACCUUUCUGUGGAUUUCUGUGUCCUUCGAAAAACUUGCAAGGUAGAGAAAGCAUGGCAUCAGUUGAAGAGGUAAAUGGUCAUAACUUAAUUCUAUAACCUUCAUCACAUCCACUUCACUAUUCAAAAUAAAUGAACUUAAAUUAUUUCGAACUUCAAGCCACACAGACUUUUCCUUUUCCAAACCUGUAAUGACUCCAGCAAUCAGAUCAGCCACCAAAGGAAGCCCCUUACAAUUUUGGGCGAUUUCUUUGCCAACAUCCAAUAGUUCAUCAGGGCAACUCUCGUUUCCAAAUGCCCUUUUCUCUAAUAACUUCCAACUUUCUCACGUCUCAGCAAUUGAAGGUUAGGAGGAUUAGAGUUGCCCUUUCCAUGAAAAGCCACUUCCUUUUGUCAAGUCGUCAAAAGAAUUCUACUUCCUUUCUUAGCUUCAGGGAAAGGUCUUGUUAGAUCAUCCCAUGUAGUAAUAUCCCACACGUCAUCUAACACAAUUAGGUACCUCUUUCCAUACAAUUUUUUCUGUAGCUCAUCGGCAACAUCAAUUUCCUCGCUGAAUUUCAAAUCCGAGCCAUUAACUUGAUUAAAAAGUUUUACCAAUACCUCCUUCUCGUCGUAAUCUUGGUCAACUGUGCACCAUGCACGAAGGUCGAAAUGUCUACAAACUGAUUCAUCAUUGUAUGCUUUGUCCGCCAAAGUAGUUUUGCCCGAACAAGGCAUACCAUUUAUUGAAACGGCAUCAAGAUCUUUCGGUCCACUGGUGAGCUGACUAAUUAACCAAAUUGUCUCCUCCUUAAAACCUACAAUUAUUUUUACCAGUUGUGAAUGUUUUUCUUUCAACUGGAUUCUUGGGAGAGUUUACAACGAGGCUCUUGUUCUUGGGAAUCUUCUCAGGUAAACUGGAGACUUCUUCUUUGAUAAGCUUGAUCUUUUUUAUCGUAAUGGGAAGUGAGAAAAUAAGAUGUAAGAGACCAUUAUCUCGAACAAUAAUUGAAUCAAUGACAUCUUUUGCCUUAUAUGCUGCAUCUAAAACACGUGCCCAUGGAUUCUUAUACAAUCUUUGCUCAACAUUCACGUAGAACGAUCUUAUGAAUUCUAAGUCUUCUUUCACCAGCGCAAUUUCUUCCUUAAUCAAUGCAAUUGAAUAAGCAUUGGAAUAUAGCAGAUCAUUCAAGUGUAUGUGCAGCAGAUGCAUGAAGAGAGGUCCAUCAUUCAUGGGGAAGCAACAUUGAUAUGAGUCCGGGGCUUCCAGAUAAACAAAUUUGAGAUCUUCCUUGAGGAGUUCAAUAUUUUCCAGCAAGUCUCGAGUUGCACGACUUGUUUCAUCAGUACUCACUUCAUUCCUUGAUUUU
rnacentral:lncRNA from 1 species